rnacentral:rRNA from 1 species
UACGGGUAGGGGGCGAGCGUUGUCCGGAUUAUUGGAGCGUAAAGAGCUCGUAGGCGGUCUGUCGACGUCUGCUGUGAAAACUCGGGGCUUAACCCCCGGGCCUGCAGUGGGUACGGGCAGACUAGAGUGCGGUAGGGGAGACUGGAAUUCCUGGUGUAGCGGUGAAAUGCGCAGAUAUCAGGAGGAACACCGAUGGCGAAGGCAGGUCUCUGGGCCAACUGACUGA